rnacentral:rRNA from 1 species
GACGAGGGCGCGAGCGUUGUCCGGAUUUAUUGGGCGUAAAGAGCUCGUAGGCGGCUUGUUGCGUCGACUGUGAAAACCCGCGGCUUAACUGCGGGCUUGCAGUUGAUACGGGCAGGCUAGAGUUCGGUAGGGGAGACUGGAAUUCCUGGUGUAGCGGUGAAAUGCGCAGAUAUCAGGAGGAACACCGGUGGCGAAGGCGGGUCUCUGGGACGGUACUGACGCUGAGGAGCGAAAGCGUGGGGAGCGAACAGG